rnacentral:rRNA from 1 species
AUGAACGCUAGCGGCAGGCUUAACACAUGCAAGUCGAGGGGGUAGAAGGAGCUUGCUCCUUUGAGACCGGCGCACGGGUGCGUAACGCGUAUGCAAUCUACCUUUUGCAGAGGGAUAGCCCAGAGAAAUUUGGAUUAAUACCUCAUAGUAUGUGAGGAUGGCAUCAUUUUCACAUUAAAGUCACAACGGCAAAAGAUGAGCAUGCGUCCCAUUAGCUAGUUGGUAAGGUAACGGCUUACCAAGGCUACGAUGGGUAGGGGUCCUGAGAGGGAGAUCCCCCACACUGGUACUGAGACACGGACCAGACUCCUACGGGAGGCAGCAGUGAGGAAUAUUGGACAAUGGGCGCAAGCCUGAUCCAGCCAUGCCGCGUGCAGGAUGACGGUCCUAUGGAUUGUAAACUGCUUUUGUACAGGAAGAAACACUACUUCGUGAAGUAGCUUGACGGUACUGUAAGAAUAAGGAUCGGCUAACUCCGUG